UUCCUGUCUUGCCAGGCACCAGGCAGAAGGAUGUGAUCAUUUUCUGGGUCCUGAUUAGCCUUGGAUUUCUCUAAUUCUCCUCACUAUCAAUAAAGUCUAUGACAGUUCCUGAGGAUGAAACACUAGAAGCCAGGAGAACAGCAGAAAGAGAAAGGACCUUGAAUCAAUGACCUAAAUUGGAAAGUCAGUUCAGCUAUUUAUGAGGUUACUCAUCUCUUUAUCACUUAAUUUUGGAAGAGCCAAGUGGCUAAAGCUUCAUAUUGGUCAGAUACAUGGCUUGAGAAAAUACAUCUUUCAGACUCUCCGCAAGUCUUCCUUCUGUGUCAAUGAAGAUGUGGCCUGAAAUCUGAAACACCAUAUAAACAUUGGGGAGCCUCAGGGACAGCCCAGCUGGGGAUCUGAAGUUGAUGGAGAAGAUUUUGCCUAGGCUAGCCAAUAACUGGCAGACAAGAGUCAUCCUUUCACAAUUGCUGGAGACAGUAGACUUUCUUCAGGACCACAAGCAAGACACCAUCUCUGGAUCUCAGCUUCCUCAAUUAAAAAGUUAGAGGAUAGAAUCAUAUUGCCUUUGAAGUCUCCC
rnacentral:lncRNA from 1 species